rnacentral:rRNA from 1 species
AUUGAACGCUGGCGGCAUGCCUUACACACGCAAGUCGAACGGCAGCACGGGAGCAAUCCUGGUGGCGAGUGGCGAACGGGUGAGUAAAGUAUCGGAACGUGCCCAGUCGUGGGGGAUAACGUAGCGAAAGUUACGCUAAUACCGCAUACGAUCUAUGGAUGAAAGCGGGGGAUCGCAAGACCUUGCGCGAUUGGAGCGGCCGACAUCAGAUUAGGUAGUUGGUGGGGUAAAGGCUCACCAAGCCGACGAUCUGUAGCUGGUCUGAGAGGACGACCAGCCACACUGGGACUGAGACACGGCCCAGACUCCUACGGGAGGCAGCAGUGGGGAAUUUUGGACAAUGGGCGAAAGCCUGAUCCAGCCAUGCCGCGUGCAGGAUGAAGGCCUUCGGGUUGUAAACUGCUUUUGUACGGAACGAAAAGGUUUGGCCUAAUAAGCUGAGCUCAUGACGGUACCGUAAGAAUAAGCACCGGCUAACUACGUGCCAGCCGCCGCAGUAA